CUGUUAGAAGCCCGGGGUUAUGGAAGAGAAGCGUGGAAACCAGCGACCAGCGUUCAGGUAGAUUAGGACCAACCCCGGCACUUAGCUGCACAGGAACAAUGGCGAGCCCCUUUGGGCGCCUCACUGAUCAGAAGGGCAGAGGACACCCUGCUGGAUCUGGAGGAGUGGAAGUCAAUGGCGGGUCUGCGAGGGCGGCGUUCAGCGGUGGUGGACGGAGGGUGUUGAGCGGUGGUGGACGGACGGCCUUCGGCGGUGGUGGACGGACGGCCUUCGGCGUUGGUGGACGGACGGCCUUCGGCGGUGGUGGACGGACGGCCUUCGGCGGUGGUGGACGGACGGCCUUCGGCGUUGGUGGACGGACGGCUUUCGGCGGUGGUGAACGAGUCUCACUCUUGUCACCAGGCUGGAGUGCAUUGGCGCGAUCUUGGCUCACUGCAUCCUCUGCCUCCCGGGUUCAAGCGAUUCUCCUGCCUCAGCCUCCCGAGUAGCUGGAACUACAGGUGCUGGACAAAGAUCAGACCAGAUGUGAGGAAUGCUGAAAAUGAAAGUCUCUUCUGAUAUGUUCACCAAAGAAAGCGAUCCCUUAGCCCAGAUCUUGGCAAGAACCAGUGUCAAAGGGAUGUUCAUCCAGUAAUCCUGAAUUGUUGGACACCCAAGAAGAGAAUCAAGAUGAAAAUCUGUGCAGUUCUGUGAGAUUUCUGUAGUACUUUGUUCUGCUUACACUUCAAAAGCAAGCUAGACUUUCAACUUAGUAUAGCAUUGUCAUUUCCACUGAUGUAUUUCCUGAGUAUAGAUACCAACUCUCCUGAUUUCCUCAGGACUAAAGGAGUUUCUGGGACAAGAAAAUUAUAGUUUUAAAAACAGGACAGCCCCAGCAAACUGGGACAAGUUGGUCACACUAUGCAUGAGGAUGUGUAUAUAUGCAUAUUUUUAUGUAUGCUAAUUCAUAUUAUAAUUUACAUACCAUAUUUAUACUAGGAAUCAGGUGUGUUAAAUCCCAUGAUACACAUAUGUUUAUACUCCAAAAUCUAUGUAAUUACCAUCUAUUUCUAAAAAACAUUCUAGAAACAAAAGUAAUUAUGAAAGGCUAUUUUACUAUAUUUUGGACCAUAUAUCAUCAUACCAUAUUUAGGACCUCAUUUGUUAAGGCUAACUACCUGAAUAUCUUGAGCAGCCACAAGUUUAGCCCAUUUCAUGGGACUCAUUAUAGCAAGUGUUCAUUUCUCCCACCCUCUGUUCAUGUCCCCAGUUAUAUGAACAGGAAUUUUUUGUUAGAAUAGAACAAAUUCUUUAUUUUUGCUAUGUUACAGAUAAUGGAAAAGCUUGCAUACAUGGCCACUUUGGAGGAUAGACACUUUUCCUCAUUUAACAAAAUAGUGUGAAUACAUAAGACCAUGCCAUCAUUUUUAUUAAUCAAAGCUGUUACCUUUUCUGAAAGAAUUGUUCUAUUUCCUUGAGCUCAUUGUGAUGAAUCUUGAGUCUCCCCUCAAGAAUUAAGCUGUGUUCUGGAAGAUGAAAAGCAGCCCUCCCCAAAGUUAUACCAAGACAUAUUGGAAUAUGCUUUUCUAUUAUAUCUAGAUAUCUGGAUGGAAAAAUUAGACUGGGGAUUUAUUUUAAAAAGAGAGACAUUUCAUACUUGGUAUUUGAAAAUACGCUAGCACAGCUCUUGGAAAUAAA
rnacentral:lncRNA from 1 species